rnacentral:misc_RNA from 1 species
CCNNCCCUUNUCNCCGUNGGNNUUGGUNGGAUAAAUUCGCAAGGGUAUCAUGGCGGACGACCGGGGUUCGAACCCCGGAUCCGGCCGUCCGCCGUGAUCCAUGCGGUUACCGCCCGCGUGUCGAACCCAGGUGUGCGACGUCAGACAACGGGGGAGCGCUCCUUUUGGCUUCCUUCCAGGCGCGGCGGCUGCUGCGCUAGCUUUUUUGGCCACUGGCCGCGCGCGGCGUAAGCGGUUAGGCUGGAAAGCGAAAGCAUUAAGUGGCUCGCUCCCUGUAGCCGGAGGGUUAUUUUCCAAGGGUUGAGUCGCGGGACCCCCGGUUCGAGUCUCGGGCCGGCCGGACUGCGGCGAACGGGGGUUUGCCUCCCCGUCAUGCAAGACCCCGCUUGCAAAUUCCUCCGGAAACAGGGACGAGCCCCUUUUUUGCUUUUCCCAGAUGCAUCCCGUGCUGC